GAUGAACGCUGGCGGCGUGCCUAAUACAUGCAAGUCGAGCGAACAGAUGAGGAGCUUGCUCCUCUGACGUUAGCGGCGGACGGGUGAGUAACACGUGGAUAACCUACCUAUAAGACUGGGAUAACUUCGGGAAACCGGAGCUAAUACCGGAUAAUAUAUUGAACCGCAUGGUUCAAUAGUGAAAGACGGUUUUGCUGUCACUUAUAGAUGGAUCUGCGCCGUAUUAGCUAGUUGGUAAGGUAACGGCUUACCAAGGCAACGAUGCGUAGCCGACCGGAGAGGGUGAUCGGCCACACGGGAAGUGAGACGGGGUCCAGACUCCUACGGGAGGCAGCAGUAGGGAAUCUGCCGCAAUGGGCGAAAGCCUGACGGAGCAACGCCGCGUGAGUGAUGAAGGUCUUCGGAUCGUAAAACUCUGUUAUUAGGGAAGAACAAAUGUGUAAGUAACUAUACACGUCUUGACGGUACCUAAUCAGAAAGCCACGGCUAACUACGUG
rnacentral:rRNA from 1 species